AGUGGCGGACGGGUGAGUAAUGUCUGGGAAACUGCCUGAUGGAGGGGGAUAACUACUGGAAACGGUAGCUAAUACCGCAUAACGUCGCAAGACCAAAGAGGGGGACCUUCGGGCCUCUUGCCAUCAGAUGUGCCCAGAUGGGAUUAGCUAGUAGGUGGGGUAACGGCUCACCUAGGCGACGAUCCCUAGCUGGUCUGAGAGGAUGACCAGCCACACUGGAACUGAGACACGGUCCAGACUCCUACGGGAGGCAGCAGUGGGGAAUAUUGCACAAUGGGCGCAAGCCUGAUGCAGCCAUGCCGCGUGUAUGAAGAAGGCCUUCGGGUUGUAAAGUACUUUCAGCGGGGAGGAAGGCGAUGAGGUUAAUAACCUCGUCAAUUGACGUUACCCGCAGAAGAAGCACCGGCUAACUCCGUGCCAGCAGCCGCGGUAAUACGGAGGGUGCAAGCGUUAAUCGGAAUUACUGGGCGUAAAGCGCACGCAGGCGGUCUGUCAAGUCGGAUGUGAAAUCCCCGGGCUCAACCUGGGAACUGCAUUCGAAACUGGCAGGCUAGAGUCUUGUA
rnacentral:rRNA from 1 species